rnacentral:tRNA from 4 species
UGGGGCGUAGCCAAGCGGUAAGGCAGCGGGUUUUGAUCCCGUCAUGCGUAGGUUCGAAUCCUACCGCCCCAGCCA